rnacentral:lncRNA from 1 species
GCCCAGAGAAUUGCUGUCAUCUUCCACCUCACUGGUCCCCACUAAUGCAAAAAGGUCUGUCUGUCGAUGUGUUUUCUAGUCCUUGCCGUGGGUGAUGUCCAUCUGCAGUCCACCCUCGAUAUGUAUUAACACUGAGCAAUGAAGUUUUCACACUUCUGUGCUGUUAACACUUCAACACUUAUCAGGGGUAGCAUACACAAUUUGUAACACUUAUAUGAAUAACACUUGUGUAAAUAAAGGAUGAAAAUACAUAAGAUAUGAAUGUCAUCAUGUUUCUGAGCAUAAUGGGAGAACAAAUCUAAAAUAGUUCAAUGAAAUUCUUGUGCAUGAUGCUAAGAUCAUAUUUCCUUUUGAAGUGUUUGAAUGUUUUUGAUGCAAGGUGUAUUGUUAGUAGGCCUUGGUUUCAAC